rnacentral:snoRNA from 1 species
ACCCUCCAGUUCCUUUACCCAUCAGAUCUGAUCCCUGGUCUUGGUGGUUGGUUGGAAAGGCAGAAAAGGAAUGCUGAAUCUGGUCUCACAGCCUUAUAGUCUGAUAUAUAGCAUGUGGGCUAAUUUUUAAACAAGA